rnacentral:lncRNA from 1 species
AUCCAACAACAACGUUCAUGUAAACGUGUUCAACCAAUUGGACGAACCACUCCUUUUCACAUGGAAUGGUAUCCAACAAAGGAAGAACUCGUGGCAAGAAGGAACCCUUGGGACCAAUUGUCCAAUUCCCCCCGGAACGAAUUACACCUACCGUUUCCAGGUUAAGGAUCAAAUCGGUAGCUACUACUACUACCCUACCACCGGCUUGCUUCGUGCUGCUGGUGGUUAUGGUCCCCUUACUGUCGUAAGUCGUGCAUUGAUCCCUGUCCCAUUUGAUAAACCUGAGGAUGAUUACACGGUCCUUGUGGGGGAUUGGUACACCAAGAGCCACACUGAAUUAAGAAGCAUGUUGGAUACCGGACGCGGUCUUGGAAGGCCACAAGGCUUGGUUAUCAAUGGCAAAAGCGGGAAAGGCGACGGUAAGGAUGAGCCAAUGUACACAUUGACCCCCGGAAAGACAUACAGGUUUAGGUUUUGCAACGUUGGCAUGAAGGAUUCUAUCAAUGUUAGGUUCCAAGGCCACACAAUGAGACUCGUUGAGAUCGAAGGUUCACACGUCGUGCAAAAUGUGUACGAUUCCCUAGACAUCCACUUGGGACAGUGCUUAUCCGUUUUGGUAACCGCUGAUAAGGAACCCAAGGACUAUUUCAUCGUGGCCUCCACAAGGUUCACUAAGGAACCACACACGGCCACCGCCACUAUCCGUUAUGCCAACAGUAAGUCCCCCGCCUCCCCUCAAUUGCCUAAGGCACCAGAAGGGUGGGAAUGGUCCCUUAACCAAUUCCGCUCAUUCCGCUGGAACUUGACUAACAGCGCAGCUAGACCUAACCCUCAAGGAUCUUACCACUACGGAAAGAUCAACAUCUCAAGAACCAUCAAGCUAGUCACAUCAGCAGGCAAAGUUGACGGUAAGCUCCGUUACGCCAUAAACGGCAUCUCCCACGUGGAUCCCCCUACACCAAUCAGAUUGGCACAACAUUAUGGUGUUUCGGACAAGGUGUUCAAGUAUGACUUGAUCAAGGAUGACUACAAGCCUACAGGGGAAGAUGGACAAGACAAAAUCACACUUGGACCUAGUGUGAUCAAUGGCACCUGGAAAAGCUUUGUGGAGUUCGUUAUUGAGAACCCUGGCAAAAGUGUUCAAUCUUUUCACAUGUCUGGAUAUGCAUUCUUUGCUGUAUCGUAAGUACCUACCUCCUAAUCCUUUAUCAAAUUCAUAAUUAUAUGAUAUCGACUAGUCACCUUAUAAAUAUCUUUUACACCGUCAAUGCAGGAUUGAGCCGGGAAGGUGGUCACCAGAGAAGAGAAAGAACUACAACUUGCUUGAUGCUGUUAGCAGGAACACGAUCCAAGUUUACCCAAAUUCAUUUGCAGUUAUAAUGACUGCUCUUGAUAAUGCUGGAUUAUGGAAUAUUAGGGCCAAUUCAAUGGAGAAGCAUUAUUUGGGACAACAAUUUUAUCUGAGUGUCCAUGCAGCAACAGUAUCACUUCAAGAUGAAUACAACAUGCCUGACAAUAACCUCCUAUGCGGUAUAGUUAAGGACUUGCCUAAGCCUAUUCCUUUCAGAGCUUAAUUUUAAAAAAAUAGUAAUUCAUAAUAAUAAUAAUUUUAUAUUUAGUGAAUUUUAUAUACAUUUUUGAGCAAAGAAAAAGCAUGUAAAGAGGAGAUCAUGGUGCUAAGCUUUUUCACCAAGUGGAACAGAAGUUCUUUUUUCUGUUUAUUUGUAAUUUCUGUUUUUAUGCCUUGAUCAAUGAAUGUAUUAAUCAUUUUCUGUAUGCAUUCAUGCAUGAAAAAAAUUUGAGAGCAUUUUGUUUAAUAUUCUUUGGUGUAUUUUCACUUUCUCUUCUUUGUUCUCCCUUAUUCUCUUUAUUUUCGAAUAUAUCGUUUAAAAAUACUACUACUACUACUAAUAAUAGUAAUAAUAAUUCUAAAAAAACAGUGAAUUCGGCUAGCUAUUUAGAUAAAAAAUCUCAUAUUUCUGGUACUAGUUGCUAGGGUAUUCAAAGUUGAAAAUUGAUAUAAUGUAUGUUUCUUUUUAUAUUUACAUUUUAUCAAUAUUGAUAUAAUGUAUGCUUCUACAAAUGGCUUUCAGUCUCUAGCUUAACUAGAAUCUUGAGUAAAAAUAUUGUCUUUACAAUUAUAUUCAACAAAUCAAACUUAUAAGAGAGUUUAUACUACUGAUAAUCGCCGCGCUUUGCGCAGUUAGAAAUAACAUUAGUAAAUUUAUUUUAAUAAUAUAUAUUGUCGCAGAUUAUUAUAAAUAAAAUUAUUUAUUUUUGUCUUACAUCUGUGAUAAUUAAUUGUAUAUAGUUAAUUAAAUCACAAAUUCCUCCUUGUAUUUAUGCAUUUUGUUGGAUAAUAGAAUUUUUGUUUCUCUAUAAUUUUCUUUUAUAUAUUUAAAUGAAAAAAAGAUGAGAUAAGAAUUUAAAAAAAUUAUGAUCAAUGAAUACAAAUUAAAAGAAAAAUUUUUAGUUAUUGUUUUGUACUUCGUAAUUAGUUAUGUCAACUAUUAUUUCAUAAUUAUGUUUUAGUGUUAGUUCUAGUUAUCCAUAGUUUAAAGAAUUUGAUAUAAUAAAAAUUAGCAUUGCUUCGAGUUUGAAAGUUCUAUCUCAGCAAGAAAGAUUGCAAGUUCUAUUUCACUAAGAAAGGAGCUAUAAAUAACAAAUAUUGUUAUCCUUCAACCUUUCGUUGUUGAUUGUUGCUCACGUAAAAAGGACCUCCCUCCCCCCACUCAUUUGAGAAGUUUAGAAAAGUUAGAUAACGUUAAAAAAAUACUUUAAAAAUUGUGCAAUAUAUUUAGAAGAAAACAUAACAAUGCCAUUAGUUGCUAUCUACUUCUCUUUCAUCCUCUUCCGUAGUUAAAAAGUUGGGUCUACGUGUUUUAUACACCACGCUCAUGAACUAAUGAAAUAAACUACAUAAAACUUUAAAAAAGACAAAGCGUUCUAUGUGACAUGAAAGGAUAUCAAAACUAAUGAAAUCUCCCCUUUUAAUGAAAGACUAUCUAACUUCAUGUACAUCAAAUCCUUUUAUAAGAUGAUGAGAAUACACUUAGAAAUUAAAGAUAUAAAAUAAAAUAAAAAGAAAGAAAGUAAGCAAAAGAUAAAAAAGGAAAUAACACACCAUGAGAUCCCAAAAUUAUAUGAAGAUAUACUGAAAUAUAAUGUUAGGACACCAUAAUAGUCACAUAUUAUGUAUUUAUAUUUGAUUAGAAUUGUAUAGUUUAUCUCUUAGAGAGUUUGUGUUCAACUAUACCAUGUAUAGCAUCUUGUAUAUAUUGAGGCAAAAGCCCUCUUUAAACAUAAUUGAGUGAAAACCUUUUCAUGGUAUCAAACCCUUGCAAAGACUCACGUCCCACAAUAGAACUUCCCUCAAUUACCAGUAUCACCACACAAACCCCUUUCCAGAAUUUUUCGUCGCUUGCAACCAACGUUAAUCAGUCUCAUCUUCUCAAAUUAGACCGUCAUAACUAUAUUGUGAGAAAAUCACAAAUUCUCCCAGUUCUAAGGGGUAACGAACUCGAGGGAUAUGUGGAUGGUACGCACAAGUGCCCUCCAAAGUUCACUCCAAAUAGCUCAUCUGAAACAACCUCAACUGACGGGGUUAUCAACCCAGCGUACAGUUUAUGGAUCAAACAAGACCAACUUUUAUUGAGUUGGAUUCUCUCAACCCUCACCGAAAGGAUUUUAGCCCAAGUAGUCGGUUGUACAACAUCUCAGGCGGUUUGGAAAACACUUGAGAAGAUGUUUGUAUCGCAAUCCAAGGCUAGGAUAAUGCAACUUGUAGACACGUAAUUUCGUCCCUUCACAACUUAAUUUUACCGUUUACCUCGUCUUACCACGUAUCCUAUCCAGGUGGUAAUUUUCUCACAAGAAAAUUAAAAUAAAUAACCACCUCAUUAUUUUAUUUUUUUAUUUUUAUUUUUAUCCCAUUUAACAAAUUCUAACAAAUUUUAUAUUCUUUUAAACAUCCCAACAACCUUUCUAAUUAAAAGAGGACACAUCACCCCCCAAUACCCUCCUACCCUACUUAUCCAUGUGAUCCCCCUCCUCACAUUUCUUGUCCAAAAAUCUCUCCAAUUAAUAGAGGACACAUCACCCCCCCAAUACCCUCCUACCCUAUCUACCCAUGUGACCCCCUCCUCAUAUUUCUUAUCCAAAAAGAAAAAAAGGGACCUCAAUUUCAUUCAUAAUAUACUCCCUAAAAUACUCACCCCCAUCGGUCACUCACAAUGGGAUGAACAAACACAUACUCACCAUUAACACAACCUCACACACCCAUCCACCAUGGACGAUACACACAGAUAUGCUUAGAGGUUGAGAGAGAGCAUAGAGAAGGAAUUCGCGCAUAGAGAAUGGGGGAGAGAAACAAAGAGAGAGGGAGGAUACAAAAAUAGAAAUUACCAUUUUUUCUCUUCUUUUCUGUUGGUUCGCAACACACAAACACAUAUACACAUACUAAGUCGCACACACACACGCACUCUAUCACCAGAAAUACACACAUAUGCACAUAGUGAGGGCAAAAUCAAAAAAAUGGAGGGAGCUUGAGAUUCCGGCGAGAAACUGUGAAGCCAGCGCAGAUCUGUCAUAGAUCUUGAGUUUUUCUGGUGAACCUUUCAUCGAAAAUAGUUUACAGGUCAUCGUUUGUUCGGUUCAAUCCCAAAAUUCAGAGAUCCCAUCAGUUUUCUUCAAUUUUUGGGUAGAUUCGAAUGGAAAAAUGCUAAGGAUUACUGAAAUUCGACCCUUUUUCCAGUUGUUCGUGCUACUGUUUGUGUUUGCUGGAAUUUUGAUCAGGUAUUUCUUCUAUUUUCUCAUCAUCUUGGUCUCGAUUAUUCAUCUGUAUUUUAGUAGAUUGUUCGUUUCAAUUGGAAUUCGGGUUAUUGUAUUUGUGGACUAUUUUUGACUGAUUUGGAGAGUCAACAUUUCAUUGGUAUUCUUCGAGGUUUCGGAACGGCUCUUAUUCUCUUAUUCUAAUUUUUAUGCGAUUAAUUUGUUGAAUUGGCUAUGUUUGAGAUUGGAUGAUUUGGUGGAUGUUUGAUGUCAUUUAUGUGGAAUUCGUAUGAUCACCAUGCUUUAAUUAUCAUUAUGUCUAUGUUGUUGAUAUUGAAUUCCGAGUUGAAUAAUUGAAUUGAUAGUUAAAGCAUGAAAAGGGAAUUUGGGGUGGAAUUACGAGAUUGAUAAAAAGGGAGAAUUUGGUCAAUGUUAGUUUGUUGUUGUUUUGCUUAAUUCGCAAGCAAUUUUAAGUUUGUGAAUUCGAUAGUAUCAUGAUAGGUCAAUUUGGAUAGGAAAAUGUUUAGGUUCGGGUAGGCAAAUUUAGGAAUAGGUGAUUUCGUUGAAUAUUUGAAUAUAGAGUAUUUGGUUGAAUGUUGGAAUAUGCGUGUGAAUGUUUCUUCCUAGUUUAUCGCAUCAGAUUUGGGUGUAUUCAUUUGGCCGGGGAAUGCCCCGAGGUUUCAUGUAUUUAUUCACCGGGGGAUGCCCUGUAGUAUUAUGUUGGCGGUAGACAUUUGUGAUGAAAGCCCGAGGCAUCAGGUAGAGCAUUGAAGCAUAGUUUAGGAUUAGUGUAGGUUAGCGUAGGUUUAUUUUCACAUUUUUAUUUUGGACUGUAUAAUUAGACUGGACACUAAAUUUUGGAUUGUUUUGUUUUGUUUUGCUUGAUUGAUUGUUUUACGUGCUUUGUAUGGUUUAUACAUUCGUAGUGUCGAAUUAGCCGAUAUGCUUCACCAAGAGACCAUGGUCAAACCACGGGACCGAGGGGUGCCUAACACCUUCCCCUCGGUCAACAUAAUUCCUUAGUUGGAAUCUCUGUUCGCGGAUCAAUUUCUAGAGUCAAAUUAUUUUGAAAAGGAUUCCCCAAGGUAACUUGGCACACCCAAUUUAUGUCAAGUGGCGACUCUGAGUUAAAAAAGGUAAAUAAUUCUUUUCGAAACAUAUUUUCAAUCUCGUCACUUUAAAAAUAAAAACCCUUCCAGACUUAAAAUAAUUUUUUUUAGAGUUAAAAAAGGGGUGUGACACAACUAAGGUUGCAAUUACAAACCACAAAGAAAGGAAACUCAUCCAUGGUAGAAUAUCUUUAAAAAAUGAAGACUUCUGCCGAUAAUGUUGCGGUUGCAGCACACCCGAUCACUAAUGAUGAUCUUGUCUUAUAUAUUCUUGGAGGACUUGGACAAGAAUAUGAUGCUAUGGUUGUUUGGUCACUACUAGGGCCGAGUUAAUUUUAUUAGCCGAUCUUCAUGGCUUGCUUUUAAUUCAAGAGUAUCGUUUGGAGAAAAUGACAAGUACAGAACAAUGAUUAAGACAAGCCAACUUGUCUACUAGACAAUCCAAUAAUACUAAGAAUGAUAACUCCUUUAAGAAGCCUACUAAUGUCAAUAACAAUUAGGCUUAUGGUGGCAGAUCUGGACGAGGACGAGGACGAGGACGAGGACGAGGACGAGGACGAGGACGAGGACGAGGUCGAGGUCGAGGUCGCAAUGCCAACUCAUCCAACCAAAAUCAAUUUCAAGUUUUCCAUAAAUUUGGUCACUCCGCCUUGGUUUGCUACCAUCAUUUUGACCAUGCCUAUAAGCUUCUUCCAAAUCGCACAUGGAUGCUCUCAUUGCACAAAUUUCUAUGGUUGGAGACUCAAAUUGGUAUCCAAAUUCUAGGGCUACUCAUCAUUUAACUAACGAUAUGCAGAAUAUGGUGGUACGAGGAGAGUAUAUGGGAAACGAUCAAAUUCAUAUUGGUAAUGGCACAGGUUUGACAAUUUCUCACUUUGGUAAUGCUAUCUUAUUUACUGUUAGUUGACCUUUACAUUUAUCUAAUGUAUUAUUGGUGCCUAAAAUUACCAAGAAUUUCCUUAGUGUAGCAAAGUUCACUUCUCAUAAUGAUGUUAUAUUUGAGUUUCACCCUCGUUUUUGUCUUGUGAAGGAUCCAGCAACGGGGAAAGUACUACUACACGGGACUCUUGAGUAUGGCCUUUAUCAUCUCCUUGCAACCCAGUUACUCGGCCAGCCUUCUUUCUCAAAUAAAUCACAGGCUUUCCAUGUCUCCAAGUCAUUUUUUGAUCUAUGGCAUAGUCAUUUAGGUCACUCGUCUCUACGAGCAGUCAAUAGUAUUAUUAGGAGUCUUUCUUUACCGGUCAAAUCGAGUCCUCAGUCUAGUAUUUGUUCUUCUUGCCACUAUGGCAAGAGUCAAAAUUGCCAUUUUCUAAUUCUAGUUCUAGUGCUAGUUUUCCCCUUGAUUUGAUCCACAGUGAUGUAUGUCAUCCUGCUCCACAAUUGGCUAGUAAUAAAUACCGUUAUUAUGUUUCUUUUAUUGAUGACUUUAGCAAAUUUACAUGGCUAUUUUCUAUGAGUUCCAAAAAUGAAGUUUAUACUAUAUAUUUACGGUUUAAAACUCAAGUCGAGAAGUUCUUUGAGCGCCAUAUAAAAGUGGUACAAUAUGAUUAGGGUGGUGACUAUAGGAAAUUAUCCAACUUUUUCGCUCUAGAAGGGAUCGUUCAUCACUUAUCUUGUCCCCAUACCCAUGAACAAAAUGGUACUGCCGAAAGAAAAUAUCGUCAUAUUAUUAAAAUGGGUUUAACACUUCUCGCACAUGCAUCCCUUCCUCUCACCUUUUGAGAUCAUGCUUUUGCUACUGCCGUUUACACUAUAAAUCAUAUCCCAACACUCUCACUCAAUAAUGUUUCACCUUAUGAGAAGUUGUUCAAACAAAUUCCUGAUUACCAUUUUCUGAAAACUUUUGGCUGCGCGUGUUUCCCAUUCCUUCAUCCCUAUAAUUCUCACAAAUGAGUCUUCUGAUCCUUAAAGUGUAUUUUCUUGGGGUAUAGUGGAAAUCAUAAAGGAUAUCAGUGUUUACAUGUCCCUAGUGGCCGAAUAUAUAUCUCUCGGCAUGUGGUUUUUGAUGAGUUACAAUUUCCUUUUGUUAGUUUAUCUUCGACUUCAAAUAGAGCACCGACUUUCGACUCUAUUGUCAUGACCUCGUUACCCAUCAUUGCUCCUUGUAAUUCCACUUCGCCUAUCACUUAUGCCAAUAAUAGUUCCAUAGCAGAUGUUGUCUCGCUAAUUCCAUCGUUAAACUCGUCAAAUCCUUCUUUACCAAGUCCAUCGUCAAGCUCACCGGUGUGUUUUUCGGUCCCAUCCAAUUUGUCUCCGUCUUCCAUCCCUUCUAAUAACCUUACUGUUGAUCUUUCAAUACCUAUUGAUACACCUACCAUUGCUCCUAAUUCCCAGCCACCGGCUGCUCGGACGACAUCCUUUGUACCUCAUCCUAUGGUCACCAGGAGUAAAAACAAAUCACAACUUCCCCAAGCUCACAUUGACACAAAAUAUCCUUUGCCUCCAUCUACCCUUCCACCUGAACCUACCUGUUUUACCCAAGCCAACAAGGAUCUAAAAUGACGAAAGGCUAUGCAAGAAGAGUACAACGCUCUCUUGCAAAACGGUACUUGGUCCCUUGUUCCAUCCUUCACAGCAAGGAAUGUUGUAGGAUGCAAAUGGAUUUUUAAGUUAAAACUCAAUCUUAGUGGCUUCAUUGAGCGUUACAAGACUCGUUUAGUGGCAAAGGGAUUUAUCCAAGAGGCUGGAGUGGACUAUCAUGAAACAUUCAGUCCCGUGGUAAAGCCUACAACGAUUCGAGUGGUUUUGUCUUUAGCUCUGUCCAAAGGGUGGUCUUUACGGCAUCUCGACGUCAAAAAUGCAUUUCUUCAUGGGCAAUUACAUGAAGAGGUAUACAUGUCUCAACCCCCUGGAUUUACUGAUUCAAGAUAUCCCAACCAUGUGUGAAAGCUUCACAAAGCCCUUUAUGGCCUUAAACAAGCACCUCGGGCAUGGUUUGAGAAGCUUAGCUCGAAAUUGCUUGAACUCAAUUUUGUACCUUCCAAAUCUGAUACGUCUCUGUUUAUACACAAUUUUGAUGGCCAUAUUACUAUUAUCUUGGUGUAUGUAGAUGAUCUUAUUGUUACAGGAAGCUCUAAUGAGUUCAUUGCAAGCCUUGUUCUUCAAUUGUCUAAUGCCUUUGUUGUAAAAGAUCUUGGUAAGCUACACUACUUUCUUGGUGUUGAGGUCCAUUAUCAGCCCACUGGAUCAAUCACAAUACAUACGAGAACUCAUUGCUCGUUCCAAUAUGGAUAGUGCAAAGCCAAUUGGUACACCUAUGGCCACAGGACUUCAAUUGUCUCAACAUGGGAGUUCACCGUUUUUGGAUCCAUCAUUAUAUCACAGCUUGAUAGGAUGGUAUUUAAUCAUUUUCAUCAAAAUGAUGAUUACCAUAUUAUCACAUGAAAAAGAUGUAAAAAUAAAGAUAAAAAAUAAUAUUAAAGAAAAGAAGAAGAACAUAAAAAUGAGUAUCCAACAAUUUCAUAGAUGAAUGGUAUUUAUAGAUUGAUUAAUUCAUAAGAACUAAGCAAUAUGAAGUUGAGAAGACAUGUUAUUUAAGUGGAGAAUACAAAUAGAUGAAAGUUUUUUUAUAACUUAUGAAUAAAAUUACAAACUACCAGUCCAUUCCCCAACUAAUGUGGGACUUUUUACUCACUCUAACACCCCUCCUCACGCCCAGGCCCAACUGGCUCUGGCGCGUGGACCGGGAGCACAAAACGGGGAUGAACCUCAUGAUUAUCCAAGUCCAUUUAAGCAAACUACCAGUCCAUUUCCCAAUCAAUGUGGGACUUUUUACUCACUCUAACACCCCUCCUCACUCCCAGGCCCAACUGGCUCUGGCGCGUGGAUCAGGAGCCCAAAAUGGGGAUGGACCUAACUCUGAUACCAUGUCAAGCAAUGGACCUUGGGCCUAACUCAACCUCAAAAGCUAGCUCUUGAGGGGAUCACCCAAGUCCAUAUAAGCAAACUACCAGUCCAUUCCUCAACCAAUGUGAGACUUUUUACCUACUCUAAUAGUUUCUUCUAUACUGCAAGUAAAAUAUCGAUAGGAUCACCAAACUUGUCACUCGUAAAAGUUAGUGUGAAGUUGGACAACGAAAACCUAUUGACUUUUAGUCAAAAAGCACUUCUAAAUAGAGAGGAAUCAAGUGUGCGAUAAAUUUCAAAGAAAUUAGUUAAAAUUUGAAGGGGUCUUCUUGCGAAGAGUGUGUUCUAAUUAAUUCUUCACCAUAUACCUUUAGUUUUUCAAAAAGAUGAACAGUUAAGCCAAAAAUUUUCUAGACUAACUCAACUUCUUCACACAAAUAGAAACAUAAGAAAAGAAAAAAUUAGAACAAAAAAGGAAAAGAUGGCCAAUAGAAAAUGAAAAGUCAUAUUCUUUCUUAAGUAAACCGGAUUGAGUCAAGAAGUUCAAAUAUAAGCCAGCAUUGUGAGAGUUUAUAUCCUUCCACUCCAACGCUAAAUCUAAAAGAUUUUAACAAUACGUAAUGAUUUAUUUCAAUAGUCUACUGAAUGUAGUACCAUAUCUUCUUUGAACCCACACCAAAAAGCUCUACAAUUUGUCAUAAAACAUCAUUAUUAAAAAUGAAAACAAAGCAAAAUGUUAACUAUCUAGUUACUUAAAAGAGAAAUAAAGAGAAGGCAAGAGAGAAGAUAAGUAACCACAUUUAGAAUCUUAAAUGUAUAGAACUCUAAUGUCUUACCUACAAUAGUUAUAGCUCAAAGUAAAUCGCUGCAUUAUCUUUGUGUAGAUUAUGAAAUUAUUAAAUUCAAUCUAGGGUAAUAUUACAUAAGAAAACUCAAAAGAAAUAGACUCCAUACACUGUCAUUAAAACCGUACAAUAUAGUUAUCAACAAUGUUAGCGAAUAUCAAAGAGUGUUCUAGUGAAAAGUAUGUUCUAGUAAAAUCAUAUACUUUUUUGCUUAAUCUGUUUGUCAAUAGGAUAACAAAUGGUAGACUUAAUUGAAUAGCAUUCGUACAACAAACUUUCAAACAAAAGAAAAAGAACAGAGGAUCCAAAACCAACUGUUGUAACUCAACAAACUAAUCUAAAUAUCAAAAGACUAUUGUUUGUUCCAGAAAACUCAUUUGUUUAGAUUAUAAUGCGACUCUAAAUAAUUAGGGAUUUGCUAUUUUUGAAAUUAGAUAAGUUUCACUCUACUUACACAUGCAAUUUCUGGAUGGAGGGGAUUCAAUAAAAACCCCUUAACAUUAGAUCAGCAUUCGGCCACAAAUUCUCAUAAGGUAUAACUAGGGAUUAUUAACAUACAAGUGUAGUUAAACAGAUGAUUUUCAUUGUUGAUUGUUUCGGGUAUACAACAGAUAGACUUCAAUCCACUUUAUGCUUUACGGAUAAGAGUUUUUUUUAGCAGAAAGACAUGAGUAGAUGAGAAGGGAAUCACAUGUAAAAAAGGUAACAUACUGCCAAUCUCUCAUCGUUUUUAAACGAUAUUUUUGUGCCAUUUACGAGUUUUUGUAAACAUUAUCUUUAUAUGGUGGAGCUAUAAUGUGAAAGGUUAUUCGUGUUUGUAAGUUAUUUGUCAAUACUUUUAAAAUGGAAAUGAGAAUUCAUUAGCCAAAAGCAAAUCAAAAUAUUUAAGUUAAUGUUGAUGAAUUGAGACAUUGGUUAUGUUCCUUGACCUACCGCCCCGUACUGUGUAAUGCAAUUGUCCAUCAGAUACUUCGUUUCGUCUAUUAUUCAAAUCAUGAUCUCAUGUGCUAAUUACACUAAAAAAUCAACACCAUUGAAUACAAAAUAAAACAUAAAUGCAGCAGGAAGAUGAUCUUGUAUACAUUAGCAUCCAAAAAUUCUCCAUCAGAGAACUUUUUUUUCGACUUUAUGGUACAUUAGAACAAAACCGAUCAUGGUCAGUCAUUUUAAAAGUACAUUCAUCGAAGACAAAGCCAUAAAAGAAACAAAACAUGGAAUCAAUAAUACAUAGCAGUACUAAUGAUGAAACAACUAAUAAAUAAUAUCUGGAAUAUUCAGUUCGGGAUCUCAAACCUUCUUUAACAAAAAGCUUGACCAGCAUCUGUUCGUAGCCCUACUUCCUUAAGAAAUAAAAGUUCAUCAGUUGGGUAAACAUUGACCGCAAACAUAAUGUUUUCGCCUAUUUUGCUUGGUAGUUUCAACAGUAUUGAAAAUUAUAUGUAGAAGAAUUGGAUCAAGGUAGUAAACUCCAACCUUCAAUAGUAAAAAUUGCAAUGAAAUUUCAAUGAUGCCAGAAUUGAAAGUGACUUUGACAAUGUCUGGCAGUUGGUGUUUCCAUGAGAAAGAAGGCAACAAAGAUGAGAAAGUUUCAUUCUAUCAUAUGUGAGAUAGAGAACAGAGUUAUUUAUCAGUGGAAAUGAUUAAGAAGGACGGUUUUUAUCCUACAGUUAAUAUGACAUUUAAUCUGUAUUGACUUUUGGAAUAUAUGCAGUUAAAAAAGAAACUGUCGAUAUUGAUGGUUAUUAUUGUAAUUGUGGGAUAAUUUAAAACUUACAAAUUUAUUUUAAGAAUUUUUUUUCAUCUUAGGGGUUUUGAAGAAUGACCAAUCGGCAAUUUGCACAAAUGCCAUAUAUGCCCUACAUGGAUUAAGAAUAGGUUUUUUCCUCUAUUUUAAAAUAUUUAUAAUAUUUAUUAGAUUAUUUUUUUGAUAUUUAAUUUUUAAUUUGAUUGUAAUUUUUGACAUGUAGAUUUUUAAUUUAAAUGUGAUAACUAAUAACAGCCAUAACUAUAUUUAUUUUACUAAGUUGCCAAAUGGCUUAUUCAUAGAAUGCCAAGUGGCUUAAUGAGGAGGUUUUAUCGUUUCCUAUUAAUAAUAUAUAGAUAUAGAUAUAGAUAUAGAUGGUAAUUUUUGACAUUUAGAUUUUUAAUUUAAAUGUAAUAACUAAUAACAGCCAUAACUAUAUUUAUUUUACGAAGUUGCAAAAUGGCUUAUUCAUAGGAUGCCAAGUGGCUUAAUGAGGAGGCUUUAUCCUUUCCUAUUAAUAAUAUAUAUAUAUAGAUUACUUGGGCCUUAAAUAUAAAUAUAAUAACUAAGCUCAAUUAUAACACCUUGAGACUUUUACUCACAAACAAUUAAUUAAGAGAAGAUUGCGUUCAAGUCAUAUUAGUCAAUUCUAAUUGCCUUUCAUUUUUAGCAUAAGGUAUUUGUUAAUAUGUCAAUACACAAAUAAAGGAUAAAUUUCAAGCAUGCUAUCAAAGUCAAAUAAUCAAAGAUAAUUCACUAAAGCAAAAACAAAUUAAUUUAAGAUAUUUACAGCUUUAACUAUUAAGCAGUCUAUUAAUCCUUCGGUAAUUAAUGGUAGAAAAAUAAAUGGUUAUCAUGUGACCCUUUUUGAACACUUACAAUUAUUAUUCUCAAAGAAGGAGAUAUUUUCUUAACUUGCUAAACAUAGAUUUAUUUUUUGCACUUUUUCUUUUUGACUGUUAACAUUAAGGAUCAAUUGAUUAACUAGGGAGGACCUAUUAAUACCAUUUGUAGGGGUGCGGAUAUAGGCAGAUAACUAACUUAUAAAUAGGCAGAUAACUAACUUAUGAAAUAGAUUUAUUAUAUAUUUAAUGAAUCUAUUUUUCUUUGUGCGUGGAUAUUUCUUAAAUUUUGUUUCAAUAUCUUUUAAUGAUUUAUUCUUUUCGUAAGAUGUAUUCAUUAAUUUGUUUGGUUUAUUAUUUUAUCCUGUAGUAAUUGCAGAGUUACAAAUUUCUGUAUAAUAAUUUAUCCUAACUGUACUGUAAUGUAUAUUUAAUUCUAGAUUUUCAAUGUUAUUUAUUAUUUUGUGUUGUUCUUCUCGUAGUGAGUUUUUUAAAUUAUAUAAACUAUCACAUGUACUUUUUUCUAAAUUUUCUAAGGUUUCUUCUAUCCAUAUUAAUUUUUCUUUUAGAUUCUCCAUUAUUUUUCUAAUUCGGUUUNNNNNNNNNNNNNNNNNNNNNNNNNNNNNNNNNNNNNNNNNNNNNNNNNNNNNNNNNNNNNNNNNNNNNNNNNNNNNNNNNNNNNNNNNNNNNNNNNNNNNNNNNNNNNNNNNNNNNNNNNNNNNNNNNNNNNNNNNNNNNNNNNNNNNNNNNNNNNNNNNNNNNNNNNNNNNNNNNNNNNNNNNNNNNNNNNNNNNNNNNNNNNNNNNNNNNNNNNNNNNNNNNNNNNNNNNNNNNNNNNNNNNNNNNNNNNNNNNNNNNNNNNNNNNNNNNNNNNNNNNNNNNNNNNNNNNNNNNNNNNNNNNNNNNNNNNNNNNNNNNNNNNNNNNNNNNNNNNNNNNNNNNNNNNNNNNNNNNNNNNNNNNNNNNNNNNNNNNNNNNNNNNNNNNNNNNNNNNNNNNNNNNNNNNNNNNNNNNNNNNNNNNNNNNNNNNNNNNNNNNNNNNNNNNNNNNNNNNNNNNNNNNNNNNNNNNNNNNNNNNNNNNNNNNNNNNNNNNNNNNNNNNNNNNNNNNNNNNNNNNNNNNNNNNNNNNNNNNNNNNNNNNNNNNNNNNNNNNNNNNNNNNNNNNNNNNNNNNNNNNNNNNNNNNNNNNNNNNNNNNNNNNNNNNNNNNNNNNNNNNNNNNNNNNNNNNNNNNNNNNNNNNNNNNNNNNNNNNNNNNNNNNNNNNNNNNNNNNNNNNAUAAAAUCAAUUUUAAAAGAUAGAUCAUCUAGAUUAUCUUAAAAUUUUAAUCUUAUAUAUACUUAAAAACAUAGAAAUUAUAGAUAUUAAGAAAAUAAUAUUAGAAGAAGUAAUAAACUAUGAAAUUGAAACUGCAAAUUGUCUAGAACAGUUAUACGAGGAAAUUUACCCAGAAGGAUAUUAUUCAGAUUAAAAAAUGUUAGAAUAUAUUAGACAAACUAGAGAAAAUCAAGAAAAUCUAAAUAAUGAAAUUAAUUAUAGAAACCGAAUUAGAAAAAUAAUGGAAAACCUAAAAGAAAAAUUAGUAUGGAUAGAAAAAACCUUAGAAAAUUUAGAUAAAAGUACAUGUGAUAGUUUAUAUAAUUUAAAAAACUCACUACGAGAAGAACAACAUAAGAUAAUAAAUAACAUUGAAAAUCUAGAAUUAGAUAUACAUUACAGUACAGUUAGGAUAAAUUAUUAUACAGAAAUUUGUAACUCUGCAAUUACUACAGGAUAAAAUAAUAAACAAAUUAAUGAAUAUAUCUUACGAAAAAAGUAAAUCAUUAAAAGAUAUUGAAACAAAAUUUAAGAAAUAUCCAUGCACAAANNNNNNNNNNNNNNNNNNNNNNNNNNNNNNNNNNNNNNNNNNNNNNNNNNNNNNNNNNNNNNNNNNNNNNNNNNNNNNAGAUUCAUUAGAUAUAUAAUAAAUCUAUUUCAUAAGUUAGUUAUCCGCCUAUAUCCACACCCCCCUACAAAUGGUAUCAGAGCCCAGUAAUUUAAAAAGUAAAGCAGUGAAAUAUAUGUCAGAUAUGAGAGAAUUUAUAUAUAUUUAUUGAAUUAAUUAUUAGAAGACCAUUUAAAAAUAGAGAAGCUUUUAGAAAAAUUAAAGAAUCUUUAAUUAAUAAUUAUUCAGAAUAUACAAGUUUAAAUUACUCAAAAGAAAACCCUAAGUAUUUUGAAUUUAUCUACCAUCACAUCAGAUAUAUUAUCAUUCAUUUUCAUAAAAUUGCUUUUUUCAAAAUAUUCCCUUCAACCAUGUACAUAAAAUAUAUGAAUAUAAUUUAAAAUUAGAUUUAGAUAUCCACCAAGAUAUUAUAAAUAUGGUUUAAAUGAAUAAAGUGCAAAAAUACAAAGAAUUAAAACAAAUUAUUUCUGAAAAACGUAAAGAAUUAAAAAUAAGAAUAGAAAAACUACAUUAUAAUUUAUUUGCCGGAGUUAGUGAAAAUUCAAUAAAUACUCAAAAAGAUGAAAUAUCAAAAUUAGAAUCACAAAUAGAUAGUUUAGAAUAUGUAUAUCAACAUGACCUAUUCACAAUAAAAUGAAUAAAGAAGAAUUUAUAAUAGAUGAAAAAAUAUAUGAAAACUACGAAGGAUCAAAAAUAAAAAUAGUAUUUUCUAAUCUAGGACGAAGAUAUAAGAAAAUAGGUGAACAUUUAUAUCUAAUGUUAGAAAAAGAAGAAUUAAAAUUAGAAGAUAAAUUAACAGCAAUGGUAAGAAUAGAAAAAGAAAAUGAAGAGAUAGAUAGGAAAAAAGAAAUAGAAAAAAUAAAACAACAAACUACGGAAGAAAUACGAAAAAUAGAAGAAACCAAAAAUAGUAGAAUUGCUGAAUUAGAAAAAGAAUUACAAAUGUUAAAAGAACUGUAUGAACAAAGACAAAAAGAAAAAGAAGAAAAAGAUAGAGAACAGAAAUUACUAAAUGAGAUAAAUCAAUUUAAGGAAAAAUUAGAAAUAAAAAAUGAAGAAUUAGAAAUAAAUAAUAUAGAUAUUGAAGAGACAGAUAAUUAUGAGUCCGAAGAUAGUGAAACAUACACAGAAAUAUUAACAAAUACAAAAAAUUUAGAAAUCAAUGAAGAACAAAAAAUUUAUGAGGAAAACUUAGAAAAUACCCACACAGAAAUAAAUACUCUUGAUAAAAAAGAAAAUGAAAAUAUAAUACCUAAAACAACAGAAAUAAGAAAACCUAUAUAUUAUAAGAAUAAGUUUAAAAAAUAUAAUGAAUAUGAUAAAUGGAUACCAAAACAAAUAGUGAAUAAAAAUUAUAACUUUUUAGAUCUAGACUGUGUAAUAGAUACAGAAAAAACAAUACAAUUAUGGAUAGGAUAUAUGACAAAACAAUUAUUAGAUAAUAAUAUAAAUAUAACAGAUGCACCGGAAUAUAUAGAAAAAACACUAAUAGGAUCAGUAAAACUAUGGUUUGCAAAUCUAACCGAAAAUAGCAAAAAAGUAUUAAGAACUAAUAAACCUAUAGAAGGAACAUCAUCGACAACAACUAAACUAACACCUAUAGAAUUAUUAAAAAAAUAUGAAACAGCUAUAAAAGAUGAAUUUGGUAGUACGACAACAAUCGAAGAAGAACAAAAUGAAGAAAAAGAUACAAAUAGAAAUUUAAUGUUAAAAUUAGCAAUAUGUAAUAUGUGUUAUAUAGAUGAAUAUACUUGCGCAUUUAAAGAAUAUUAUUACAAAGGAGCAUAUAGUAUAGAAGAAAGUAAAGAAAUAAGAAAAUUAUAUUUUAAUAAAUUACCCGAGCCAUUUAGUUCGAAAAUAAUAAAAAGUUGGGAAGAAGCAAAAAUAGUAGAUACGUUAGGAGCAAGAAUAAAAUAUUUACAACAAUGGUAUAGAAACUUAUGUGAAAAAUAUAGAGAAGAAUUAAAAAUGGAAAAAACAUUAAUAAGAAAUUUAGCUUGUUGCAAAAAUAAAAUAGCACCCCAAUUUGGAUGCGAAGAAAGAUAUUAUAAGAAAAGAAAAAGACAUAAGAAAUAUAAGAAAUAUAAAAAAUCAAAAUAUAAAUAUAAAAAACCAAGAAAAAGAUACUAUGUAAAAAAUUAUAAACAUAAAAGACCAUAUAGAAAAAAGAAAUCUAUAAAAGAAUGUACUUGUUAUAAUUGUGGAAAGUUAGGACAUUUAGCUAGAGAUUGUAAAUUACCUAAAAAUCCAAAAAAUAAACAAAUAUCAGAAAUAAAAAUAGAAAAUACCGAAUACAUGCAGAUAGAUUAUAUAGAUUAUGAAUUAGAAAGUGAAGAUAGUAUAUAUGAAAUUUCAGAAAACGAAACAGAUAAUGAAAUAGAUAGCGAAAUAGAUGAAUCAAAUGACUGAAGAAGAUAUAAAAAUAAUAACAAAGGAAGAAUAUUUAAAUGAUGAAGGAACGGAACAAAAAAUAAUAUUUGACAGUAAUAUAUUUGAUGAAAUAAAAGGAAAAGAAUUAGAUUUAAGUGUAGACAAAAUAUUUAAAAUACCAACAAUAAAAAAUAUUUUUACUAGGAAAAAAGAUGAAUAUUAUGUAGUAUGCCAAAAAGAACAUGUAAUAGAUUGCAGAUAUGCAAAAGGAAAAGCUAGUAUACCACUGGUAACAAAAAGAAUAAUUAAUAAAGAAAUAAAUGAUAUAAAAAGUAAAGGAGAUCCAAUAAAAUAUGUACACCUUGGAGGUACAGAGAUAUUAAUAAAAGCAUGUUUUAGAGAAGGAAUAGAUACACCAAUAGAAUUAUAUUUAGCAGACGAUAGAAUUAUAAAACCUAUAGAAAAAAGCAUAAUAACUGCCGUAAAAGGAAAUCUAAUAUACCAAAAAUUUAAAUUUAUAAUAAGUGCAAAUUAUUCAGUAGCAGUAACAGAUAGGAAUAUAGAUAAAUCAUUAGUAUUAUAUUGGAAAAUAUCAGGAAUAGAGUUAACCCCAGGAAGUAAAAUAUUUACAGCAAGAUGUAAAAAUCUAUAUGUAUUAACAACAAAACAUAAAAUAACAGGAAAAAAUAAGAUUAACAAAAUACAAAUAGAAAGCCCAUUCGAACAAAUAGUAAAAACAAUAGAUUAUAAUGAUUAUACCUAUAGAGACAUAGAUACAGAAGAAAAUUUAGAAAUAGUAAAUGAUAGAAUAAGUACAACGAAAAGAAUAGCUAAUGAAAAGCCAGAAUCAUCAAGCUCAUCAAAAAGAACAAGUUAUGAAACAAACUCAAUAAGUAAUUUAAACCAAUAUUACAUAACAGGAAAAAUAAAUGAAAAAGAAUAUUUAAUACUUUUGAAUACAGGACAAGAAGAAAAUUAUAUAGCAAAAUAUCUAGUAAAAAAUGAAGAAAUAAAAACCGACAAUAAUAUAUGCCCAGACUUACCAAGAAGUUUAAUAAAUAAUAAAAAUCUAGCAGAAAAAGAAAUAAUAUUAGGAGUUAGAAAAAUAAAAAUAGAAUUCGAAGUAAAGGAAGAAAUGCAAAAAGCAGAUAUAAUAUUAGGAAUAAAAUGGUUGGAACAAGUAAAACCAUAUAAUAUAGAACAUACACAAUUAACCUUAACAUAUAACCAAGAAAAGUUAUUCUUAAAAAGAGCCUUAACAUGAAAUGAAGAUACAUGUAUUAAUGAAGAUAGUAGUAGAAGGAUAUUACAGUAGAUAUUAUACGCCUAUGAUAGAUACAGGAGCAGAAGCUAAUUUAUGUAGAUAUAAUUGCUUACCAGAAAGCAAAUGGGAUAAACUAAAAACACCAAUAAUAGUUAAAGGAUUUAAUAAUGAAGGAAGCUUAAUUACUUAUAAAGCUAGGAAUGUAAAAAUACAAGUAUGGGAUAAGAUAUUAACAAUAGAAGAAAUUUAUAACUAUGAAUUAACAUCAAAAGAUAUACUUUUAGGAAUGCCAUUUUUAGAUAAAUUAUACCCACAUAUAAUAACUAAAACAGACUGGUGGUUUACAACACCAUGCAAACAAAAAGUAAGAGCAAAAAGAGUUAAUAAUAAAAUAAGAAAGAAAACUGAUUGGAUAAAAGGAAGUGAAAAAAUUACACAAAAGUUAGAAAAUAUAAACAAUACUGAAGAUACAGUAGAACUAGUAGUAUUUUCGAUAAAUAAAACAGAAAUAACUAUAUUUUCAAUAAAUAAAAUAGAAAUAAUUCAGAAAAAAUUAGAACAAUUAUAUAGUGAAGAUCCAUUAAAAGGAUGGGAAAAACACAAAACUACUAUAAAAAUUGAAUUAAUAGAUAAGAAUAGCAUAAUAACACAAAAACCAUUAACAUAUAAUUUUGAUGAUUUAAAAGAAUUUAAAAUGCACAUAGAUGAAUUAUUAGAAAAACAAUAUAUACAAAAAAGUAAUAGUAAACAUAAUAGUCCAGCAUUUAUAGUAAAUAAACAUAGUGAACAAAAAAGAGGAAAAAGUAGGAUGGUUAUUGAUUAUAGAAAUUUAAAUGCAAAAACUAUAACAUAUAAUUAUCCGAUACCAAAUAAGAUAUUAAAAAUAAGACAAAUCCAAGGAUAUAAUUAUUUUAGCAAAUUUGAUUGUAAAUCAGGAUUUUACCACCUAAAGCUAGAAGAAGAAUCUAAAGAAUUAACCGCAUUUACGGUACCACAAGGAUUUUAUGAAUGGAACGUGUUACCAUUUGGAUAUAAAAAUGCACCAGGUAGAUAUCAACAUUUUAUGGAUAAUUAUUUUAAACAAUUAUCUAAUUGUAUAGUAUACAUAGAUGAUAUAUUAUUAUAUACAAAAACUAAAGAAGAACAUUUAAAAUUAUUAGAACAGUUCACAGAUAUAAUAGAAAAAUCAGGAAUAAGUCUAAGCAAAAAGAAAGCUGAAAUUAUGAAAAACCAGAUAGAAUUUUUAGGAAUACAAAUAGAUAAAAGUGGAGUAAAAAUGCAACAACAUAUAGUACAAAAAAUAAUAAAUUCGAAAGAAGAAUUAGAUACAAAGAAGAAAUUACAAUCAUUUUUAGGAUUAGUAAACCAAGUAAGAGAAUAUAUUCCAAAAUUAGCAGAAACUUUAAAACCACUACAGAAAAAAUUUAAAAUGGAUGUAGAAUAUAACUAUAAUGAAGAAGAUAAAAAACAAGUUCAAAAAAUAAAAUUACUUUGUAAAGAAUUACCAAAAUUACAAUUUCCAGAUGAAAAUAGAAAAUUUAUAUAUAUAGUAGACUUGUUUCGGAUGAGAUUGAAGACAAAGCUCAAGAUAGAAAAGAAGCCAAGGUUCAAAAUGAAGAUUUUGGCUGAGACUUGUUGUUAUUGAGCCCUCGGAUUCUUCAUGAUUUUGUGGACGGUUUUUGACUUGUUUUUGUGACUUGUUUGUGGAUUGUUUUGAGUAGGUUUUCUUUGAAGUGACCAAUUGAACGAGGUGAAGCUGUGAAUUUGUGGACAAAUUCCUCUUAAGAUAAAGAGGAUGAUACUGGAAUAAUCAUGGAUAUGGAAUUAGGAGAAUGCGUGUUGGACCCGAGCCUUGGCAUGUACAAUUGAAGUGUAAAAGAGGACCAAAAUGCACCCAAAUCAGCCCAUAAAUUACACUAGAUGGGUGCCCAUUCUUGAAGGGCCUUUUUGUUCAUUUUAACUUCUAUUUGUUUUGUAAUAUAUAAGGAACAUAUUAGGGAUUAUUCACUCAGUUUUUGGAUGAAUUUGUAAGUCUUUUAAGACUUGAAACACCAUAGUUAGGGUUUGGAAAAACCACCAACUGAAACUAGGACAAGAUCUAGUGUGGAAUCACUAGUGAUUGUAAAUUGCUUGGAGACAUUGAUGCUUGGAAGGUGGAAUGCGAUCUUGUAUCUUUGUAAUAGAUAGGUUUAUUGUUGUGUGUAGUGAUACGGGUCCAAGAUUGUCCAUUCUUGGGUUCUUAAGAUUAUACCUUCAUGUGGUCUAUCUAUCUAUCCUUUUACCUUCUUGUAAUCUUGUUUAUUGUUUGUGUUGUAAUCUUGUGUUCUUGUUGUUAUUGUUAAAUCCGAAUCUUGUGUCUUCUUGUUUAUCAUCUUGAGUUCAUCUUGUUGUUGUUGUUACUGCUUUGGUGUUAAAACACACCAUUAUAUCUUGUAUUCUUGUUGUUGGUAGUGAAUAUGAGAGUGGUCUCUAAAAAGGUCCUCGGAUUCUUAAGAUUUGCGGACUGUUUUGGAGUUGUUUCGUGUUUCUCUGAUUAUUCUUGUAUCACUUUCUCCUCUUAUUGUGCCCCAAAAAUUAAUAUUAAUCAAUAACCAAUUCCAAGGACCUUAAAUCAAUGGCAUAUUCAACAACAACAUUAAUGUCAAUGUGUUCAACGAAUUGGAUGAACCACUCUUUUUCACAUAGAAUGAUAUCCAACAAAGAAAGAACUCAUGGCAAGAAGGAACCCUUGGUACCAAUUGUCUAAUCCCCCUAGAAUGAAUUACACCUAUACAAAUUACACCUAUCAUUUCCAGGGCAAGGAUCAAAUCAGUAGCUACUACUACAACCCUACCACUAGCUUGCAUCGUGCUGCUUGUGGCUAUGGUCCCCUUAUUAUGAUAGAUCGUGAAUUGAUCCUGCUCCUCUUUGAUAAACUUGAGGAUGAUGGUACACCAAGAUCCACAUAGAAAUUAAAGGCUCAUUACAUAGCAGACGUCCUCUUGGAAGACCACAAGGCUUGUUUAUUAAGGGCAAAAAUGGGAAAGGCGAUGGCAAGGAAGAGUUAAUAUUCACAUUAACCCUCGAAAAGACAUAAAGAAUUAAGUUUUGCAAUGUUGGAAUGAAGGAUUAUACCAAUGUUAGGAUCCAAGGUCACACAAAGAGACUCGUUAAGAUCGAAGGUUCACAUAGUGUGUAAAAUGUGUAUGAACCCCUAGACAUCCACUUGGGACAAUGUUUAUCCAUUUUGGUAACCAUUGAUAAUGAACCCAAGGACUAUUUCUUUGUAGAUUCCACAAUAUUCACUCAGUAACCACACGUGGCCACCGUCACUCUCCAUUAUGCCAACAGUAAGGUCCUCGCGUCCUCUUAAUCUAAGGCACCUGAAGGGUAUGAAUGGUUGCUUAACCAAUUCUGUUCAUUCAUCUAGAAUUUAACUAACAACAAAACUAUACCUAAUCCUUGGGGAUCUUAACACUACAAAAAAAUUAACAUCACAAGAACUAUCAAACUAGUCACAUCAGAUGGCAAAGUUGACAGUAAACAUUGUUAUGUUGUAAAUGGCAUCUCCCACGUGGAUCCCGCUAUGCCAAUCAGGUUAGCAUAACAUUAUAGUAUUUAAGUAAAGGUGUUUAAGUAUGACUUGAUCAAGGAUGUCAAUAAAUCUACAGAGGUAGAUGGAGGAGACAAAAUUUCACUCGCGCCUGUUGUGACCAAUGGCACUUGGAAAAGCUUUAUGGAGUUCGUUAUUGAGAACACUGGCAAAAGUGUUCAAUCUUGGCACAUGUCUGGAUAUGCAUUUUUCUGUAUCGUAAGUACCUCGUAAUCCUUUAUCAAAUUCAUGAUUAUAUGAUCUAACUUCUUAUAGCCGAUGGCGGAACUAGGAAUCUACAUUGGGGGAUUCAGAAAUUCACUAGAAUGUCAUAUUGAGAUUCGAACUUCUGACCUAAAACCUAUGCUUUUCAUGUUAGCUCUGCCCCUAAAAGUAUUAUAUGAUUUUUUCAAUGAAUGAUAUUCAAUUGAACCCCUUUUCCUUCAACUUAAAUAAUUUUGCAAUUAAUUGUCAUAUUUUUUUUGUGUUAUCGAUUAGUCACCUUAUAAAUAUUUUUUACACCGUCAAUGCAAGAUUGAGACAGAGAGGUGGUCACCAAAGAAGAGGAAGAACUACAACUUGCUUGAUGCUGUUAGUAGGGACACAAUCCAAGUUUACCUAAAUUCAUUUACAGUCAUAAUGACUGCACUUGACAAUGCUGGAUUAUGGAAUAUUAGAUCUAAUUCAUUGGAGAGACAUUAUUUGGACAACAAUAUGAUGUAUUCAUCUUUAACUGAUACUGUUGGUUCAUGAACACUCAGAUAAAAUUGUUGUCCCAAAUAAUGUCUCUCCAAUGAAUUCGAUCUAAUAUUCCAUAAUCCAGCAUUGUCAAGUGUAGUCAUUAUGACUGCAAAUGAAUUUGGGUACACUUGGAUUGUGUUCCUACUAACACCAUCAAACAAGUUGUAGUUCUUUCUCUUUUUUGGGACCACCUCCGUCCUUCAAUCCUGCAUUGAUGGUGUAAAAAAUAUUUAUAAGGUGACUAGUCGAUAUCAUAAAAAAAAUGACAAUUAAUUACAAACUUAUAUAGGUUGAAGGGUGAGGGGUUCAAUUGAAUCUCAUUCGUUAAAAAUAUCACGUAAUACUUUUAGGAAAGGAGCUAGCAUGAGAAGUAUAGGUUUUCGGUCAGAUGUUUGAAUCUCAAUGUGACAUUCUAGUGAAUUUAUGAUUCCCCUAAUGUGAAUUCCAAGUUUCUCCACUGACUAUUAGAAUUUAGAUCAUAUAAUCAUGAAUUUGAUAAAGGAUUAGGAGGUAUUUACGAUACAGAAAAGAAUAUAUAUCCAAACAUGUUCCAAGAUUGAAUACUUUUGUUAGGGUUCUAAUAACAAACUCCACAAAGUCUUUCCAAGUGUCAUUGAUCAUAAUAGGUCCAAGUGUGAUUUUAUAUAGUCCAUCAAAACCUGUAGGUUUAUAGUCAUCCUUGAUCAAGUUAUACUUGAACAAAACACCAUAAUAUUGUGCCAACCUGAUUGGUGUAGCGGGGUCCACGUGGAAGACACCAUUUACAACAUAACAAAGCUUACGAUCAACUUUGCCUGCUAAAAUGACUAGCUUGAUGGUUCUUGUGAUAUUGAUCUUUUCGUAAUGCUAAAAUCCCUCAGGUGCCUUAGGCAAUUGAGGGAGGGCGUAGACCUUACUGUUGCCAUAACGGAGAGAGGCAGUGGCCACAUAUGGUUCCUGAGUGAACCAUAUGGACUCCACAAUGAAUAGUCAUUGGGUUCCUUAUCAGCGGUUACCAAAAUGGAUAAGCAUUAUCCCAAGUGGAUGUUUAAGGAUUCAUACAUAUUUUGCACAGUGUGUGAACCUUUGAUCUCAACAAGUCUCAUUGUGUGUCCUUGGAUCCUAACAUUGAUAGAAUUAUUCAUGCCAACGUUGCAAAACCUAAUUCUAUAUGUCUUUCUGAGGGUCAAUGUGAAUAUUGGCUUAUUCUUACCAUCGUCUUUCCCAUUUUUACCAUUGAUAAGAAAGUUAUGUGGCCUUCCAAGAAGGUGUCCGCUAUCCAACAAGCCUUUAAUUUCUUUGUGUAUCUUGGUGUACCAUUAUCCGCAGGUUUAUCAAAGGGAUUCGGGAUUAAUGCACGACCAAUGACAGUAAGGGGACUAUAACCACCAACAACAUGAUGCAAGUUGGUGGUAGGAUAGUAAUAGUAGCUACCAGUUUAAUCCUUGACCUGGAAAUAAUAUUUGUAAUUCAUUCCCAAAGGUAUUGGAUAAUUGGUACCAAGGGUACCUUCUUGCCAUGAGUUCUUCCUUUGUUGGAUACCAUUUCAUGCGAAAAGAGUGUUUUAUCCAAUUCAUUGAACACGUUGACAUUAACAUUAUUGUUGAAUGUGACGUUAAUUCUAGGUCAUGGGAAUUGGUUAUUGAUUAAAAUAUAUUUUUGGGGCACAACAAAAGGAGAAAGGGUGUUAUAAAUAACUUUUCAUUUGUGGAACAAAUAAGGAUCCUCUCCAUUAACUAAGAUGCAAGUCAUUUCUAGUAGAAUUACUAACACACUCCUCAUUAAUCUCAUCAUGUCAUAUAUCUCCAGCACUAGCAUUUCCAUCCUAGUCAAUGGGGAUAAGACCACCCCUUUCUACCCCACUAGAGGAAUUAGACAAGAGGACCCUUUGUCCCCUUAUAUCUUUAUUUUUAUAUGAAGAAACUUUCCAGGGCCAUUGAUAAUCAAGUUAGAAAUUGCCUCUGAAAUCCCAUAUCCAUAACCAGUAAAGGACCCAAAGUCUCCCAUCGGUUCUUUGUUGAUGACCUUACUCUUUUCUCUUAGGCUAGUCCUAAAGAUAGUGCCCAAAUCAUGACUACCUUAAAAGAAUUCUGUGUCCAAUCUGGAAAAGGAUUAAUCUAGGAACGUCCACAUAAAUCUUCUCUGUGAACUACAAUGCCUCUUUAGCUAACUCCUGCUUUUCUAUCCUCAAUAUCUAACCUAGCACCUCUUUGAUAAAUAUAUAGGUUUCCCUAUCCUUCAGUCUAAACCUACUCACGCUGAUUUUUAGCUCAUUAUUGACAACAUGCAUUCCAAGCUAGCUAGGUGGAAAGCUAAAAUACUCAAUAUGACUAGGAGAACUGUGCUCACUAAAUCAACCUUGGAUAGCAUUCCUUCCCAUGUCAUGCAAUUCUUGAAGGUGCCUUCAAUCUCAUGACCAUAUCCAAAGAAAUAUUGUUUAGAGCACCACUGCUGACAAGAAAAGAAUCCACCUUAUAGGUUGGGACACCGUAACCUCAACCAAAGAGGUUUGGGGACUAGAGAUCAAGAAAUGCCAACUUAAAAAUAAAGCCAUGUUGUCAGUCUGGCCUGGAGGAUGUACCACAACCCCAAUGCUCUGUGGGCCAGAAUCUUGUUCAUCAACUACUGUAGGCCUCUCAAUAGAGAACCUAAACAAAGAUGACCUUCAGAAUAGGGAAAUGCAUAAGAGAGGGAUGGAGUGUAUGCAACGACAAUAUCAGGUGGACCAUUCACAAAGGAAAUAAAAUAUUUUUUUUCGAAUACAAGUGGAUCCCUAACCAUGGCCUCAUCAAAAGCUACAUUCAGUGUCCUCUAAACAAAAUAAAAAAUAAGCUAAGGAUGGAUAACAUCUACACUAAUGAAAAUUGGAACCUGGAAAGUCUCUCCCUCAUUAUCCUUCCUGAGCUCUCCCACACCCUCCAAAACUACUUCAUCCCUCACAAUAGUACUCUUAAUGAUAAGCUAUAUUGGGACAGAAUCAACAAUGGGAUCUUCUUCAUGAAAAUAUCCUGUCAAGCAAUGGCUGACUCCCAUAAGCCUAACCCAACCACCGUUAGUCCCAAGUUCCACUGGAUAUGAAAGCUAAAGAUUUCCAACAAAAUCAAAACUUUCAUCUGGCUACUCCAACACAACAGAGGAUACCUGCAUCAUAUAGGGGUAACCAGCGGUAGUCAAUGCCACUUUUGUGACACACAAAAGAAAGACAUUAACCAUGUCUUUUUCCACUAUCAUAAUUCCUCCACCUUUUGGACAACCUAAGACAGCCAAAGCAUCUCCAUCCACUCUUUUGAUUCCAAUAACCUCAAUAUUACUAACUAGCUCACCACUUGAAGUGGCAUCAAAUAGAUCCCCUUCAAUAGAUGAUUGAGUUGGGACAUAGUUAUUCCUUUUUAUUCCUUUUGCCCUCUGGAGUAUUUGGCUUACUAGGAAUGACAACCUCUUCAACAACAGUAAGCUCCCCAUUAACCACUAUGCAUCUAUCCAUUUAGCUAUUGAAUUCCACUUUAUGACUCAUAUACACAUCACCAUCCCAACCUCACCACCAUCCUUAGCUUGAAAUGGGAACCUCCCCAUGAGGAACCUACGAGUUGAACAGUGACGGGGCUAUAAAUCAACAAACUAAGGGGGAUAGGGGGGUCUUCAGAAACCACCUAGGUGAUUGGACCCUUGGGUACAUCAAGACCCUUAACAACACCUCCCCUAUACAAGCUGAGCUCCUGGCCAUUCUGGAAGGACUCUAGCUAGCAGUCUCGUUUGUUACCAGUAUGGAUUAAUGGUAGCAAAAUAAAUUGUUAUCAUGUGUCCCUUUUUGAACACUUACAGCUAUUAUUCUUAAAAAAAGGGGAUAUUUUUUGAACUUGCUAAACAUAAUUUUUUUUCUUUUUUUGCAUUUCUUCUUCUGAAUUGUUAACAUUAAGGAGCAAUUGAUUAACUAGGGAGGACCUAUUAAUUAAUAUUGAAAUUAACAGUGACAAAGUAUAUUAAUAGAGUUAAAUAAUUAUACUAAAUUUUAUUAAACAAAAAGUAUAGAUUAAAGAAAUCAAAACAACAUGGGAUAUAUAUCUCGAAAUGAAUAUGUAACAGUAGCCUUUCAAUCUUAAACUACCAAAAAUUAGAUGAAAUUUUAAAUAACAUUAUUACAUAUGACAAAUUUAAAUUUUCAACUUGCAAUUAAUUUAGGAUGAAAAUGUCUCACCUACUUCAAAUUACCAUGUAAAGGAAUAAUAACUAUUAACAUAUAUAUGUAAUUCGAACAACUUCGUAACAUUAGAAUCAAGUGUCAGAUAAUCAUGAAAAGUAAUACAAAGAAGUUUAAGUGUUAACUUUAUGAAGAUUAUUCGAAAUAAGAAAAUGGCUACAAUAUGUUGAUUUCCAAAAUUAACAAUAGCUAAGUUUUAGAAACCACAAACUCAAAACCACGAACUUUAAAUUUUUUGUUUUGCAGAUAUGAGGUGGCUACUUUAAGAUUUUUGUUUUACUUUUCUUUUUUUCUUUAGUUCCUUUUUAAUUAAAGAUAUAAAUAAAUAUAAUGGUAAAAUUAUUAGCUACCUAUAUUGACGUAAAAUAUACAUAUAAAAGUUUAAUAGCUACUCCUAACAAUCUAGCUUAUUUAUUAAAAUCAAAAUUAAAAGUAAAAAAAAAUUGAAAUUUUUCUUAUUAUUUGGAAGGCAAAAUUAAAGCAACUCAUCCUAAAAUGUAACUCUAUUUUUUGAACCUUUUUUCGAAAAUUUUCAAAUGAACCCUACUAAAAAUGAAGUAAAAGCUAAAAUAAAGAUUAGACAAGAAAAUAAAUAUUCAAGCUAAAAGUAUAUUAACACUCAGGGAGGGUCAAAAAUCACCCGUCUACACCCGCUAUGUGCAGGUCCAAAAAAGAAUCUAACCAUAAAAAUCUAUUAUAUGUAAUCUUAUCUCGCAUUUCAGUCAAAUUACCACAAAUAUUGUCAAUCUUUAAACAUAUUUUGCAUUAUUCAAACUAUUGUACAUAGCAUUGUUGGAAACACUUUAAUUUGGUUUGGUAAAUUCAUAUUGAUAAGUAGUUCCAACGUUCCAUAUCUUUCAAUAAUACCAUAUAGAUAGAUUCAUUUAAGAUUUAUUUUGUUAAGAUUAAGAUGUCUAAUCUAUAUAUAGAAAUAAAGGAGAAAUAUAGUGAUGCUUAUGUGGCAUGCCUUAGAAUCAAGGAAUGUUAGUUAUCUUUUUUUUCCUAUUUUUGAGCUUUUUUUAUCCUUUUAAAUUUUUAUUACAAUCAACAAUUUGCUUUAAUGUUUUUAAGUUUCAAAAUUUCAACAGGCACAGUAUUAAGACUUUGUAUUACAACAUUGUUUUGCAAUUCCUCUUUAAUGCCCGCUUCUCUUUUUCUUCUUUAGGCAUUUCCAUCUUGUCAGUUCUUCCUCUUUAUUUUUCUACUUCCUUUUACUCUCUCUCUAUAUGUUUUGUUGUUCCUCUCAAAUUACAAGGUAAUUUUUUUAAAAAAAAUUGAUAUUUAUUUCUUUUUUUUUAAUUUUUGAUUGGUGUUCAUGUAUUUUUUAUUCUUUAUUAUUCCUUUCGCCUAUUUUUCAAAGGUAAAUCUCCUUUUUUUAUUUUAUAAUGUGUUUGUUGUUUAUUCAUGUUUGAUUGAAAAUUUAUGUAUAUGUGUAUUCUAGAUGCUUUAACUCCAUUAGCUGUAAGUAUUUCGUCCAACCUUCUCCCUAAAGUUAUUUCUGUAUAUGAAGCAAUUUCUCUGUUUUACAGUUCUAUGCUUCAAAUAAUUUUCUGACUUCUUUCAAAAAAUCUAAAAUUGACAAUUUACGCGCCUCCACUAAACAAUUAUUUAUACAUUCUGCAAUGUUAGAUUUCAUCAUCUUGCCUCUAUUUAAAGGAGAAUGAACUCUUGACCACUUCUCAUAUCCUGCAUCAUAUAGAUAAUCUUUCACCUGAUGAUCAAUUUUAUCAACCUUCGACAUAAUGUAUUUAAAAUCUUCCUUUCUAUAUGCUUUGGCCAUUGAAUAAAACAGGUCACUAAGUCUGUCCUUGCUCCUUCUGAAAUUUGUACAAACGUUCUUCCAAAAAUGUCAAAUGCAUGCUAAGUGAGGACCAUUUGAAUAGACAUUGCUGACACUUUUAAUUAUUGUUUCAUUGCGAUCUGAUACAACACACAUGUUCCCGCGCUCCCCAAAAGCAUUCUUAAUUGCUUGAAAAACCAUGUCCAUGCGGAAUUAUUUUCCGAUUCAACAACACCAUAAGCAAUUGGUAAUAUGCAACCUAAAAAAAAAUUUAAAAGCAUGACUUUUAAUAAAUUGUUGUUAUUAAAAAGUUUAUACACCUAAAAAAGAAUACGAUAAAGUUUCAUAUAAACAGUUAUGUAUCAGAAUAUAUAAUGAUGUAUCACAAAUUAUAUAGUUAUGUAUCAUAAUAUAUUAUAUAUGUUAUGGAACUUAUCGUAACAAUUAUUAAAGAUGGAAUAACAUACAAUUUCAUAUAUACAGUUAUGUAUCAGAAUAUAUAAUAAUGUAUCAUAAACUAUACAGUAAUGUAUCAUAAUAUAUUAUAUAUAUUAUGGAAUGUAUCAUAACAAGUAUUGAAGAUGGAAUAACAAGAUUAGUCAUACCAGCACCAUCAAGAGUGCUAGCAGAAAGAAAAGUCUCUUGGUACGGUCCACUCAAAUGAGCACCGUCUGCCACAACAACUGGCCUACAUUUCUUGAAACCAUGAAUCAUUGGCUGUAAAGCUAUAAACAAAUAUUUGAAUUCAUUAUCUACAGCCUUAUGCAUCCUGAUGUGUGAUCCCGAAUACACAGAAUUUAGCAUGUAGAUGUAUCUCGACAUUUGUCUAUAUCCGUCAGCAGCUCCACCCCUAAGCAUUUCUAUAGCACGCUCCUUCGCACGCCAAGUUUUUAUGUAAUUGAUGUCAAUACCAUACACAACUUUCAUUUCUUCAAUAACAAAGUUAACUGUAGCCUGCAGCUAUUUUAACACCCUAUUACGCAUUGAACACAUAUGUUCAUCAUUGAAUUUUCGAAUUUGAAAAAGAUCAGAAUGCAAAAAGCAAGAUGCUUUCAUGUACCAACUGCACUUUUCAUUACGACAUUCCAACCAAUAGCUUCAUAUUAAAACAAAUAAUCACAAUUUUAAAAAAAAAUAUAUCAAAACAAUAAUGUAUCAGAUACUUUUAACUGUUAAGCUACUUUAAACAAUUUUUAUAGUUUUUAUAACAACAUUCUGUCAUUUGUUUGCUUUAAACCAAUUCACCUUCAUAUACGAUAUUGUUUAUGAAUAACACAAUCAAAACAUAUUUUACAAUGUAUCCUAAUACCUAUACAUAAACGCCAAUCACACAAAAAAAAAAAACAAGCAUAACAUAGUUUAUAAUACCUUUUUUUAUCAGAUCUUGAUGCUCGAAAAUUAAAACUAUGAUCUAACACAUACUUUUUCAUUACAGCUUUCAGAGUUUUCUUAUCCUUAUACAACUGCUUCACCUUAACUUCAUUGUUUUGGCAAUCAGUGAUGAAUUUUGUUGUUUCAAUUUCUGGUACAUACAAAGAGUAUUGAUUAUUCGCCUCAACAACAGCAAGUACAGCUGCAUCUGAUUCUGUUCCUUUGACGCACAUUAUCGCACCAGUUUGAGCAUCAAAUUCUACAUCUUCAUUUGAUUUAGAGCUUGUUUUAAUGCAUAGUGGAUACAUUACAAAAUCUGUGCAUAUUUUUUUCAAUUCAAUGUAAACCUUAAUACCAUUGUCGUUUCUAAUCACCAUUAGAGUUGUAUUUCCAUCAACAAUGUAACGAACAUCUAUAUUUUUCUUUGCUUGAUCUAUCUCAAGUUCCGUCGCAAUAACAGAAAUCAACUUGAAAUAUGAAACACUUUCGGUAACUACAAUUCCAUCACUCUUGUAAUUUUCAUAAAUAAUUUCAUUUUGCCAGAAACCAGAAUGUCUCAGCAAAAUCGAAAUAUUCAUGACAAAAAUUGUUUGAAAGAAUUGACAACAAAAAAAAAAAUUGGAAGCAAUGAGUUAAAAAAUAAUUGAAAACGGCAUUCAAAUUUCAAAAUAAUUUGUUACGUGAUUUAUGUAUUAAGGAAUUUGAUCAAUCAGAAUUAUGCUUAAUUAAUGGCAUUCAAAUUUCAAAACGACAAGUCUUAUAUUUAAGGGAUUUGAUUAAUCAGCAUUAUGCUUAAUUACCGUUCGUUUACUAAUUAACCACAUUUAAUAUGGUACUUAUGUAUCAUACCACAAUGUAUCAGAUAAUCACGUAAUGUAUCAUAAAUGGGAUUUUCAGUAAUUUUUUAAAAUGUUGGGAGAGAAGGUAAUUAUAUAAGAAACUAUUGUUAUUUAGUAGUUUAUACGAAGAAUAUUGCUUAGGAAGAAAAAACAACGAAAGUUUGAGCUUUAAUUGACUAAAUUGACUAUUCCAUCAUUUCUUUUUAAGUAAUUUAUUUAGGUUGGACACAUUUCAUAAUAAAUCUCUUAUUCCUAUAAAAUUUAAAAUGCUUUUACUAUUAUAUAUACCCCUAAUUAACUUUAGGUUGGGCACACCCCUAAUUUCUUCCCAAUUAAUGAUCAUGAUAAUUUGAACAAGGGUAAAGUAGGAAGAUUUUAACCAAAUUAUUCUUAAAAAAAUAAAAGAGCACUUAAAAAGAAAUACAAACACAGCCUAAAUAGAUCAUUAAAAAAAAAUAAAGAAAGUACUUAAUAGCAAUACAGAGAGUUUAGUGAUGUUAUUUGUUGGCUCAUUAGUCAUGACUCUUUGAGAAAAAUAUUUGCUAAGUAUAUAAUUAGUAGCAUUAUUAUGUGGAUGUGCUUUCUUUGAUAAGCUCUUUAUUUAGUUUGAAUAGUGAUAUUGCAUAAUUGAACUUUGUUUAGUGUCAUAAUUGACAAUUAUAAAAUAAAAUUUUCAUUUGUGUUCUUUAUAAAAAAAAAAUGAAAAGAAAAGAAAAUGUAAAAUUCAAAAUGAAAAGUUAAAAUAGAAAAAUAUUGAAUCAUGCAUAUUUUCUUGCCAUUGUAUGGAGUCAAUUUCAUUAUUUAUAUUUCAAGUUAAAUUAAAGUUGUCAAAAUUUAGUUUUACAUAUUUAAAUUUGUUGUCUUGUGUUUGUAAAUUCAAUUUCUAAAUUUAGUUGGUUUAAAUGGUAAUCUACAUAACUGAUUUAUUAUUGUUUGCAGGUUAGGAUUUGUCAUUCUCUAAGUAAUUUUUCAUGAUUUUGUAUUUUUUUCAGCUUUCUGACAGAAAAGAUGAAGAAAUCAUGUCAAUGUUGAACUUCACUAAAAUAAGAAUAUGAAUCAUUUGCCAUCUGGUGCAUACAGAUAAUUAUUUUACGUGACAAUAGAAGCAAAUUUUCUAAGAUUUUGUGGUUUCAGAUGAUCCUUAUAAAGUUAUUGCAUAUGUUCUGUUUGCGAAUUAGGUGCAUGAUCAACAAUCGACAAUAAUGAUAUUUUAUUAACAGCCUCUCUACUUCUCGGAGGUAGCAGUAUGGACUGCGUACAUUUUACCCUCUCCAGACCUCACUUUGUGGGAAUACACUGGAUUUGUUGUUGUUGAAUGAAAAAAAGAUCACAAGAAUUGAUGACAUAGAGAGUCAUGGAAAAUAUAUAUAUAUAUAUAUAUAUAUGAGAAAUUGACUAGUUCUAUUAUAAAAUGUGUAUUAAGAUAAAAGACACUUGAAUCUAAAUAUGCAUUUUAAUAUUAAAAUUUUUGCAUUAAGUUACUGGAUAUUCAGUGAUAAAGGCUUUAUAUUCUUAACAUUUGAGUAUAUAAAACUUAUCUUUAUUUAAAAUUCAAUAAAUAUGAAAUAUUAAUAAAGAUGGGCCGUGUCUAACGCAAAAAAAAUGGCUCAACUAAACUGAAAAAUUCAAUGAUAUUUGGAUGAUAAUUAUAGGGAAAAAAAAAUUAAAGACCAAAAGAAAAACGUUAUUUACGGGCAACAAAAGGAAAAAAAAUGAGUGACUAUCAAUUAUGGAACUUACCAUAUAAAUAGACCAAAUUCACAAUCAAAACAUCAACAUCCUUUCAAUGUUCUUUUAGUAAAGCUUGUUUCCUAUUUUUCUCUCUUCUCUUUGUUUUUUCGAUUCGAAAUAAAGUUUGAAAGGAUCAAAAAAUCAUAAAGAAACACGAGAGGAGAAGAAGUAAAUAAAAAAAAACGAAAAUGAAUAACAAGAUGAGAUGUGUGCUAGCAAUUCUGCUAGCAAUGACUUGCAUCUCCGUGAAUGGAGAGGAUCCUUACCUGUUCUACGAAUGGAAAGUUACUUAUGGCACCCUUUCUCCUCUUGGCGUGCCCCAAAAAGUCAUUUUAAUCAACAACCAAUUCCCAGGACCUAGAAUUAAUGGAACAUCCAACAACAACGUUCAUGUAAACGUGUUCAACCAAUUGGACGAACCACUCCUUUUCACAUGGAAUGGUAUCCAACAAAGGAAGAACUCGUGGCAAGAAGGAACCCUUGGGACCAAUUGUCCAAUUCCCCCCGGAACGAAUUACACCUACCGUUUCCAGGUUAAGGAUCAAAUCGGUAGCUACUACUACUACCCUACCACCGGCUUGCUUCGUGCUGCUGGUGGUUAUGGUCCCCUUACUGUCGUAAGUCGUGCAUUGAUCCCUGUCCCAUUUGAUAAACCUGAGGAUGAUUACACGGUCCUUGUGGGGGAUUGGUACACCAAGAGCCACACUGAAUUAAGAAGCAUGUUGGAUACCGGACGCGGUCUUGGAAGGCCACAAGGCUUGGUUAUCAAUGGCAAAAGCGGGAAAGGCGACGGUAAGGAUGAGCCAAUGUACACAUUGACCCCCGGAAAGACAUACAG